AUUGAACGCUGGCGGCAUGCUUUACACAUGCAAGUCGAACGGCAGCGCGGGCUUCGGCCUGGCGGCGAGUGGCGAACGGGUGAGUAAUGCAUCGGAACGUGCCCAGUAGUGGGGGAUAGCCCGGCGAAAGCCGGAUUAAUACCGCAUACGACCUGAGGGUGAAAGCGGGGGACCGAAAGGCCUCGCGCUAUUGGAGCGGCCGAUGUCGGAUUAGCUAGUUGGUGGGGUAAAGGCUUACCAAGGCGACGAUCCGUAGCUGGUCUGAGAGGACGACCAGCCACACUGGGACUGAGACACGGCCCAGACUCCUACGGGAGGCAGCAGUGGGGAAUUUUGGACAAUGGGGGCAAGCCUGAUCCAGCCAUGCCGCGUGCGGGAAGAAGGCCUUCGGGUUGUAAACCGCUUUUGUUCGGGAAGAAAUCCUCUGGGCUAAUACACCGGGGGGAUGACGGUACCGGAAGAAUAAGCACCGGCUAACUACGUG
rnacentral:rRNA from 1 species